rnacentral:rRNA from 1 species
AGGAGCUGGUAUCAGGCACAACCAAGCUGCCCAAGACACCUAGCUACGCCACACCCANNNNGGAACUCAGCAGUGAUUAACAUUGAACAUAAGCGACAGCUUGACUCANUUAAAGUAAAAAGAGCCGGCAAAUCUGGUGCCAGCCGCCGCGGUUACACCACGUGGCUCAAAUUGAUUUCCAUCGGCGUAAAGCGUGAUUAAAGCCCCAACCUCACUGGAGUCAAACUAAGACUAAGCUGUGACACGCUUGUACUUAAGAAGCCCAAAGACGANNNNNNNNCCAAUACAACCCACUUGAACCCACGACAGCUGAGCCACAAACUGAGAUUAGAUACCCCACUAUGCUCAGCCGUAAACUUUAAAUUACACCCAUAUCGCCAGGGAACUACGAGCAAAGCUUAAAACCCAAAGGACUUGACGGUACCCCACAUCCACCUAGAGGAGCCUGUCCUACAAUCGAUACCCCCCGCUAAACCUCACCACUUCUCGCCCACUCAGCCUGUAUACCUCCGUCGUCAGCUUACCACGUGAGCGCAACUCAGUGAGCUCAAUGCCCUAUACGCCAACACGUCAGGUCAAGGUGCAGCAAAUGAAGUGGGAAGAGAUGGGCUACACUCUCUAACAUAGAAAACACGGAAGACUACUUAUGAAACCUAGNNNNNNNNNNNNNNUAGAAGUAAAAAGAAAAAAGAAUGUUCUUUUUAACUCGGCACUGGGGUGUGUACA